UCCUUCUAAUUAUACGUAUUUGAUUUGCCUUUGUAAUUUUGAACUAUACAGAGAGUAUGGCACACAAUAGGCAUUUGUGAAGUAUUUAUUAUGACUAACUUUGAGCUGAGUUGGUCAUUAAUAGACUAGACUUUUCCCUAAACUUUUAAUUUUAGGACAAUUUUUGGAAAAUGUUAUGGCCACAUCCAUAGCAUGUGGAAUUUCCUGGGCCAGAGAUUGGAUUGGAGCUGCAGCUGUGACCUACACCAUGGCUGUGGCAAGGCAGGUCCUUAACCUACUACAUUGGGCUGGGGAGCAAACCUGCACCAUCGGAGAGACAACACUGGAUCCUUAAUCCACUGUGCCACAGUCCUAGGAUCCUUAACUCCUGGGACAGUGUUUGAUUCACAGAAAGGUUUCAAAGACACUACAAAGUGUUCUGUUACGACACAUUCUCAGUUUCUCCUAUUAACAUAUUAGUAAGGCAAGCUUGUUUCAGUUAAUGAACUGGUGUGGAUGCAUUAUUAGUCACUAAAGUCUAUACUUUAUUUAGAUAUCCUUAAUAACUAUUUCCAUCCUAGGUUCCUAUUCUAAGUACCACACUUUGUUCGAACAUCAGAUCUCUCUAGGCUUUGGCAAUUUCUCCAUCUUUCCUUGUUUUUGAUGACUUCGGUAGUUUUGAGAAAUAGUGGUUAGAUAUUUUGUAAAAUGUCAUCUACUGGAUUUUUUUUCUCAUGGUUAGACUACUAGGUUUUGGGUUUGAAGAGAAAAUCACAGAGGUAAAGUAUCAUUUCCAUUAUAUCUGGAGUGCAAUCUCCCCUGAGGAAGACUGGUUCCAGCAUCCACUGCAGAUACCCAAACUGGUGGGCACCCAAGCUCUAGAGAUGGCUCCCCAUGUCCACAGCUCUGCAUCCCUAGAUUCAGCCAGCCUUGGAUUGUGUAGCACUGGAGUGUUUAUUGAAAAUAAAUCUACCUGGGAGUGGACCCAAGCUCUUCAAACUUGUGUUGUUCCAGGGUCAAAGGCACAUGCCAUCCUUCUGACUUGCUGAUUCAGAUGUUAAACUUGAUCACCUAUUGAGGUCGUAUUUAUCAGGUAUCUUCCCUGUCAAGUUUCUUAUUUUCUCUCCUCUACAUACUGUACUUUUGGAAGGAAGUCACCAUGUGCUGACCACACCUAAGGAGUGAGGAGUUAUUCUCCACCUUCUCGAAAGUGGAGUAUCUACAUAAAUCACCUAGAAUUGUUUCCACAGGGAGCCUAUUCAUUCUCGUUUAUUUAUUUGAUGAUUUAUAUCACUAUUGAUACAAAAUAAUAUUUAUUUUACACCUUAGGUUAUAGUCUACUAUUAGUUUAUUUAAUGUUUUUCUUCUUCUGCCUUCUGGGAGGUGUUUGAUUUGGUUCCUUCAACAGAUUCCAUGUCUGUGUGCAUGUGUCUUUGUAUUUUUAGUGCUUCCUCAAUUUCUGGAACUGCAAGUAGUUAGGCAUACUUUAUAUGGCUUAUACACAUCUGGCCCCAAAUUAUUUCUCCAAGGAGUAGUGCUUUCCUUAAUUGGAGAAUGACAAUGAAAAUCAUUUGUGGGCAUUAUUACCAUUGCUGCUGAAGUGUUGUUGCCACUAGACUCAGCUAUCAAUAUAUUUGAAUCAGCAGAAAUUGACACUACAUUGUAAAUCAACUAAAAUUUAAAAAAGAGUGUAUUUGAGUACUAACCUGUAUAUAUGCACGCCUAGAAAUAUUUCUGAAUAUAAGCACUUAUAUCUGUAUUAAGCUCCCCAUGAAUCCAUAAUUAUAUCUCCAAGGUGAAUCCCUAACACACUGACUAUUCGAGCCUCCUUUGUUUGUUGAUCUGUAGCUUUCCACUCCAAUAGUGAGAAUCCUGGUUCCAAAAUUCUGCCAUCCAUUUACUGAAGUGUUGCAUCUCAGUGUCAAUAUGUAACAGUAACAGAACUGUUAACCCACAGCACUAUGAGAAAUAACCUCAACAACUAGAAUACAGUGGUUAUGUAGCUUCCUUGUCUUUAGUCUUUCAGAAACUACUCAGUUCUAACAUUGUUUAGAUAAUUCCUGUUGUGACUCAGUGGAAACAAACCUGACUAGUAUCCAUGAGGUUGUGGGCUUGAUCCCUGGCCCGGCUCAGCAGGUUAAGGAUCUGGCAUUGCAGUGAGCUGUGGUGUAGGUUGCAGAUGCAGCUCAGAUCAGGCAUUGCUGUCACUGUGGUAUAAGCUGGCAGCUAUAGCUCUGAAUCAAUCCCUAGCCUGGGAACUUCCAUAUGCCACACCUGCAGCCCUAAAAACAAACAAACAAACUUCAGGCACUGGAAAAAGAAUAGUUUGUAUCAUUUACUUUAAAAAGCUCACAUCAAAAGCUAUUUAGGUCAUGGACACCCCCCCCCCACCAAUUCCAUUUAAUGAGGUUGUUAAUUAUUUCAGACAUCUGCAAUUCACUUAGGCUGUUUUGUCACAUUCUGCAUUCCAUCUUGGAAACCCACUACCUCCUACAUGUUUUGUUUUAAUUUGCACAAAUAACAUUAAUAAUUUGAAUUAGAGGAUAUGGAGCUUUUACAGACCUGUGUCUUUCCCAUAGAAAUAUACUUUUAAGAUUUUUUUCUAGUUUUUUAUUAUUUGAUAAUUUAUUUUAUUAUCUAAAUAAUGUUGUAUUUUAUAGCUAUAUAAAACAUUUAACUAUUUGCUUAUUGAAGGAUUCUUGGUUCUUUCAAGUUUUGAAAAUUAUGGCUAUAGCUAUAUAUAUAUAUCAGGGUGCAGGUUUUGUGUGGACAUAAGAUUUCAAGUCAGUUGGAAAAUAGUUGCUAGAUGAAAUAAGUCUGUCUUCAGUUUUGAAGAACUGACAAAUUGUUUUCCAAAAUGUCUAUACCAUUUGAAUUCCUACCAGCGAUAAAUGAGCAUUCUAUUACACUGAAUGCUCUCCAGCAAAUAGUAUUUUUAGUUUUGUGAUUAACACGUGAGCUAUCCUAGAGAUUGUUCAAUGUGUGCUUGAGAAAAAUAUGUAUUCUGCUGCUGUUGGGUGGAAUGUUUUGCAUUUACCUGUUUGGUCUAUUUGGUCUAAAGAAUAAUUCAAUCAAUAAUGUGUCCUUCUUGAUUUCUGGAGGGAAUGAUCUAUUAUUCAUUGUUGAAAGUGGAGUGUUGAAGUCCUUUAUUAUUAUUGCAUUGUUGUAUAUUUCUGCUUUCAUAUAUAUUGAUGUUUCCUUAAUAUAUUUUUGGUUCCAAUGUUAAUUUCAUAUGUAUUUAUGAUUUUUAUAACCUCCUGAUGAGCUGACCUCUUUAUCAUUACAUAAUGACCUUAAGUGUUAUCAAUUAACACUUUUGACUAAGGUCUCCUUGGUCUGAUAAAAUUAUAGCUAUACUUGUGCUCUUUGGGGGUUUCUUUUGUGUGUAAUUAUUUUCUACUCCUUCACUUUGAGCCGCUGUGUGUCUUUAAAGUUGAAGUGACUUUCUUGUAGGCAGCAUUUGGUUGGGUCCUUUUAUCAGGGAGGGGAAGUUUUGUUUAUAUUUAAAAACUCUGUUUAGCCACUUUGUAUCUUUUGAUUGGAGAAUUUGUCUACAUUUAAAUCAACUUUUGAUAGGUAAGGGCUUACUAAUGCAAUUUUAUUGUUUCCUGGCAGUUUCAGAGUUCCCUUCCCUUGCCCUGUUCUUCCGCUUUUGCUGCCUUCCUUUCAAAAUGAUGAUUUUCAUAAUGGUAUGCUUUGAUUUCCUUCUUUCUUAUCUUUUGUGUGUCUACUGUAGGUUUUCACUUUAUGGUUACCAUGAAGUUUACUUGAAAGAUUUUAUAGGCAUAAUAAACUAUUUUAUGCUGAUGAUAAUGUCAUGCUGAUCAAACUCUGCUCUUUCCUUCCUCUCCCACCUUGCAUUUUUCAUGCCACAUUUUGUUUCUAAAUAUUGUAUUAACAAAUUAUGAUAGCUAUUGUUAUUUUAACAUUGCUAUUUUGUAUCUUUUCAUUUCAACUGAACUCGUUGUAGCAUUUUCCAGUGAUGAACUCCUUCCUUUUGUUUGUUUGGUGAAGUCCGUAUCUCACUUUCAUUCCUGUAGGUCAGCUUUGCUGGGUAAUGUAUCCUUGAUUAGUAGCGUCUUUUUUUUCCACUGCUUGAAUGUGCCAUCCCACUCUCUCCAGACCUGCAAGGCUUCUGCUGAGAAACCCACUAUAGCGUGUGAGGGUUUCCUUUUAUCAUCCUUUUUUUCCCAUUUACUGAUACAAAAUUCUUUCUUUAACUUUGGUUUUAGAUGGCUUUAUUAUAGAAGAUCUUGGAAAAGAUCAUUUUGGGUUGAAAUUUUGGUUUGACCAAUUAUUUCAUGAACUUGAAUAUUUGGGAAGUUCUCAGCCAUUAUUCCUUUAGAUAAGCUUUCUACCCUCUUCUUCCUCUCUUCUUGUUUUGGGACCUAACAAUGCGUGUUUGUUUUUCGUCUUAAUUAUAUCUUGCAGUUCAUACAGGAUUUAUUGACUCUUUUUCUUUCAUUUUGUUCUCUGAAUAGCUAGUUUCAAAGGUCCUGUCUUUUACUUCACAGAUUCUUCUCCUUGAUCAACCUGCUAUUGAUGCUCUCAGUUGCUUUUCAUUUCAUGCCUUAUUUUCUUCAGCUUCAAAACUACCUUUAGGUUCUCCUCUCCUUCAUGACUUCUAAUCUCUCUGUUAAACUUUGCAUUUUGUUGAUGUAUUGUUUUCCCAGUUUCACUGAGUCCUCUCUAUGUGUUUUCUUACAGCUCCCUGGGCUUCCUUAAGCUAGGUAUUUUGAACUCUGUUGGGUAAACAGCAGAUCUCCAUUUCUUUGGGAUCAGUUACUGGAAAAGUAUUGUGCUCCUUUGGUGUUGGCAUUUUUCCUUGAUUUUUCAUGCACCUUCAAGUCUUGUGUUGCUGUCUUCCCAUUUUAAAAAAGUCUUCUCGGAGUGCCCAUUGUGGCGCAGCAGUUAACGAAUCCGACUAGGAACCAUGAGGUUGUGGGUUCGAUCCCUUCCCUUGCUCAGUGGGUUAAGGAUCUGGCAUUGCCGUGAGCUGUGGUGUAGGUCACAGACG
ensembl:lncRNA